AUUAGUGGCGAACGGGUGAGUAACACGUGAGUAACCUGCCCUUGACUCUGGGAUAACCUCCGGAAACGGAAGCUAAUACCGGAUACGACCCGCGGAGGCAUCUCCAGCGGGUGGAAAGAACUUCGGUCAAGGAUGGACUCGCGGCCUAUCAGGUAGUUGGUGAGGUAACGGCUCACCAAGCCUACGACGGGUAGCCGGCCUGAGAGGGUGACCGGCCACACUGGGACUGAGACACGGCCCAGACUCCUACGGGAGGCAGCAGUGGGGAAUAUUGCACAAUGGGCGCAAGCCUGAUGCAGCAACGCCGCGUGAGGGACGACGGCCUUCGGGUUGUAAACCUCUUUUAGUAGGGAAGAAGCGAAAGUGACGGUACCUGCAGAAAAAGCACCGGCUAACUACGUGCCAGCAGCCGCGGUAAUACGUAGGGUGCGAGCGUUGUCCGGAAUUAUUGGGCGUAAAGAGCUCGUAGGCGGUCUGUCGCGUCUGCUGUGAAAACCCGAGGCUCAACCUCGGGCCUGCAGUGGGUACGGGCAGACUAGAGUGCGGUAGGGGAGAAUGGAAUUCCUGGUGUAGCGGUGGAAUGCGCAGAUAUCAGGAGGAACACCGAUGGCGAAGGCAGUUCUCUGGGCCGUAACUGACGC
rnacentral:rRNA from 1 species